AUUGAACGCUGGCGGCAGGCCUAACACAUGCAAGUCGAGCGGAUGACGGGAGCUUGCUCCUUGAUUCGGCGGCGGACGGGUGAGUAAUGCCUAGGAAUCUGCCUGGUAGUGGGGGACAACGUUUCGAAAGGAACGCUAAUACCGCAUACGUCCUACGGGAGAAAGCAGGGGACCUUCGGGCCUUGCGCUAUCAGAUGAGCCUAGGUCGGAUUAGCUAGUAGGUGAGGUAAUGGCUCACCUAGGCGACGAUCCGUAACUGGUCUGAGAGGAUGAUCAGUCACAAUGGAACUGAGACACGGUCCAGACUCCUACGGGAGGCAACAGUGGGGAAUAUUGGACAAUGGGCGAAAGCCUGAUCCAGCCAUGCCGCGUGUGUGAAGAAGGUCUUCGGAUUGUAAAGCACUUUAAGUUGGGAGGAAGGGCAGUAAGUUAAUACCUUGCUGUUUUGACGUUACCGACAGAAUAAGCACCGGCUAACUCUGUGCCAGCCGCCGCCGUAAUAC
rnacentral:rRNA from 1 species